GCGAAGGUGGCGGAAUUGGUAGACGCGCUAGCUUCAGGUGUUAGUGUCCUUACGGACGUGGAGGUUCAAGUCCCCCCCCUCGCACCA
rnacentral:tRNA from 4 species